GAUGAACGCUGGCGGCGUGCCUAACACAUGCAAGUCGAGCGAACAGACCAGGAGCUUGCUCGUUGGACGUUAGCCGCGGACGUGUGAGUAACACGUGGAUAACCUACCUAUAAGACUGGUAUAAGUUCGGAAAACCGGCUCUAAUUCCAGAUAAUAUAUUGAGCCGCAUUGUUCAAUAGGGAAAAACUGUUUUGCUGUCACUUAUAGAUGGAUCCGCGCGGGAUUAGCUAGUUGGUAAGGUAACGGCUUACCAAGGGGACGAUGCGUAGCCGACCUGGGAGGGUGAUAGGCGACCCGGGAACGGGAACACGGUCACGACGCCUACGAGAGGGCGCAGUAGGGAAUCUGCCGCAAUGGGCGAAAGCAUGACGGAACAACGCCGAGUGAGUGAUGAAGGUCUUCGGAGCGUGACACUCUGUUAUGAGGGAAGAACAAAUGUGUAAGGAACUAUGCACGUAUUGACGGUACCUAAUCAGAAAGCCACGGCUAACUACGUG
rnacentral:rRNA from 1 species